rnacentral:lncRNA from 1 species
CCAUGGGAGGAUUUAGGCACGUUUUGUGUCUUAAUUUCCUUGCUUGGCUGAAUUUAAGAGCCCUUGUUGCCUAUUUUGUGAGCAAUCUUCAAUUCUUGCUUGUUUUAUGAAGAUGCUUUAGCUUUCUUUCCAGUUUUAGGAUCAAUUUGGAUACCUUAGCCAAAUUUAAGGGGGAUUCUCCCUUACUGCCAAAUUUUAGGGAAGUUUUAUACUUCCUUUGCUUGUCUUGUGCCACAUGUCAUUGAUGACUUGUCCAUUUGUGAUGAGUCAUAUGCCACAUGGAGCUUUGCGAUGCACCAUUUGUAUGCAACGAAAUUUACAUGUCCACAAAUGCCCCCACUUCAAGGCGCAUUGUAGGCAUGUACUUGUCACAUGUAGGAAACAUGUUUUGAAGUCCUGCAAUGUGAAUGUUCUAACUCAAGGGUCGUUGAGACUUGAUCUUGAAUUAGCUUGUUUCUUAAGGGGCCGUUGAUGCAUAUUUCUUGAAUUGAAUGAUGAAUUUCGUCAAGGGCCGUUGAGGCGUAUUUCUUGGACGAAACAUUUCUUUAAGGGCCGUAGAGGCUUGAUCUUGAAUUGAGAUGAUGAAUUUCGUCAAGGGUCGUUGAGUCGUAUUUCUUGGAUGAAACAUUU